rnacentral:rRNA from 1 species
CCUACGGGGGGCUGCAGUGGGGAAUAUUGGACAAUGGGGGGAACCCUGAUCCAGCCAUGCCGCGUGUGUGAAGAAGGCCCUCGGGUUGUAAAGCACUUUCAGUGAGGAAGAACGCCUGGUGGUUAAUACCCAUCAGGAAAGACAUCACUCACAGAAGAAGCACCGGCUAACUCCGUGCCAGCAGCCGCGGUAAUACGGAGGGUGCGAGCGUUAAUCGGAAUUACUGGGCGUAAAGCGCGCGUAGGUGGCUUGAUAAGCCGGUUGUGAAAGCCCCGGGCUCAACCUGGGAACGGCAUCCGGAACUGUCAAGCUAGACUGCAGGAGAGGAAGGUAGAAUUCCCGGUGUAGCGGUGAAAUGCGUAGAGAUCGGGAGGAAUACCAGUGGCGAAGGCGGCCUUCUGGACUGACACUGACACUGAGGUGCGAAAUCGUGGGUAGCAAACAGGAUUAGAUACCCGAGUAGUC